CSCUUAUAGGGGCGGCCGAUGGCAGAUUAKYUAGUUGGUGGGGUAAAGGCYUACCAAGGSGGACGAUCUGUAGCUGGUCUGAGAGGACGACCAGCCACCACUGGGACUGAGACACGGCCCASACUCCUACCGGGAGGCAGCAGUGGGGAAUUUUGGACARUGGGGGCAACCCUGAUCCCAGCARUGCCGCGUGUGUGAAGAAGGCCUUCGGGUUUGUAAAGCACUUUUGUCCGGAAAGAAAACCUUCUUGGUUAAUACCUGAGGGGGAUGACGGUACCGGAAGAAUAAGCACCGGCUAACUACGUGCCAGCAGCCGCGGUAAUACGUAGGGUGCGAGCGUUAAUCGGAAUUACUGGGCGUAAAGCGUGCGCAGGCGGUCUGUUAAGACCGAUGUGAAAUCCCCCGGGCUUAACCUGGGAACUGCAUUGGUGACUGGCAGGCUUUGAGUGUGGCAGAGGGAGGUAGAAUUCCACGUGUAGCAGUGAARUGCGUAGAGAUGUGGAGGAAUACCGAUGGCGAAGGCAGCCUCCUGGGCCAACACUGACGCUCAUGCACGAAAGCGUGGGGAGCAAACAGGAUUAGAUACCCUGGUAGUCCACGCCCUAMACGAUGUCAACUAGKUGKUGGGGAUUCAUUUCCUUAGUAACGUAGCUAACGCGUGAAGUUGACCGCSUGGGGAGUACGGUCGCAAGAUUAAAACUCAAAGGAAUUGACGGGGACCCGCACAAGCGGKGGAKGAKGKGGAWUAAUUCGAUGCAACGCGAAAAACCUUACCUACCCUUGACRUGGUCRGAMGUCUGCUGAGAGGKGGACGUGCUCRAAAGAGAACCGGCGCACAGGUGCUGCAKGGCUGUCGUCAGCUCGKGUCGUGAGAUGUUGGGUUAAGUCCCGCAACGAGCGCAACCCUUGUCCUUAKUUGCUACSCAARASCACUCUAAGGAGACUGCSGGUGACAAACCGGAGGAAGGKGGGGAUGAMGUCMASUCCYCAUGGCCCUUAU
rnacentral:rRNA from 1 species